UACGUAGGGUGCAAGCGUUGUCCGGAAUUAUUGGGCGUAAAGAGCUCGUAGGCGGUCUGUCGCGUCUGCUGUGAAAACUCAGGGCUUAACCCUGAGCUUGCAGUGGGUACGGGCAGACUAGAGUGCGGUAGGGGAGACUGGAAUUCCUGGUGUAGCGGUGAAAUGCGCAGAUAUCAGGAAGAACACCAGCGGCGAAGGCGGCACUCUGGGCCGGAACUGACGCUGAGGAGCGAAAGCGUGGGUAGCAAACAGG
rnacentral:rRNA from 1 species